rnacentral:rRNA from 1 species
GAUGAACGCUGGCGGCGUGCCUAAUACAUGCAAGUCGAGCGAACAGAUGAGGAGCUUGCUCCUCUGACGUUAGCGGCGGACGGGUGAGUAACACGUGGAUAAUCUACCUAUAAGACUGGGAUAACUUCGGGAAACCGGAGCUAAUACCGGAUAAUAUAUUGAACCGCAUGGUUCAAUAGUGAAAGACGGUUUUGCUGUCACUUAUAGAUGGAUCCGCGCCGCAUUAGCUAGUUGGUAAGGUAACGGCUUACCAAGGCAACGAUGCGUAGCCGACCUGAGAGGGUGAUCGGCCACACUGGAACUGAGACACGGUCCAGACUCCUACGGGAGGCAGCAGUAGGGAAUCUUCCGCAAAGGGCGAAAGCCUGACGGAGCAACGCCGCGUGAGUGAUGAAGGUCUUCGGAUCGUAAAACUCUGUUAUUAGGGAAGAACAAAUGUGUAAGUAACUAUGCACGUCUUGACGGUACCUAAUCAGAAAGCCACGGCUAACUACGUG